GUGUGUGUGUGUGUGUGUGUGUGUGUGUGUGUGUACACAUAACAUGUUGACCUAUGAGCUAUGUGGUGAAUGCUCAUGGUGUUUUUAAAUUGAAUCACAGUUUCUUUCUGAGAGAAGAGCAAAUCCCUUACUGUAAGUACUUCUAACCAGUCCUUGAGCCAAGAAUUGCUCAUAAUCCUCUGCCACAAUCCAGUUUUCUGAUUAAAACCUCUACUUUAUACUCUGAUUUCCAAAGAACUGUUAAAACCUAUAUCCACCCUUCUUUUUAUUGGUCAAAUAUUAGUUUAUGUUUUACUUAUUUUCAUCUUCUUUUUACUGGCUGUAAUUCCCACUGUAAAGCCAUCUUUGCUUUAGCAUUGAAUCUUCAGUCAACCUCCUUCUUCCCAGUACCCCAAACUAGAAAAACAGAUGAAGACAUUAUAUGCGAUGCUUCACCUUGCAAGAGUCUGAAUUUCAGAAAUACAAUCCAGGACUUUUCUCACCAUCUUCCUUCUGAAUUUAUCAACAAGCAGGUACAGAGGUUUCACAGAGCAACGCUGAAAUCUCUGCCUUCAGGAUGUGUGUGCUUCUCACAACUACUCUGAUCAACUCACUGUUUCCUUCCCUGUCUAUUAGAGACCACUGCAGGUCUGGAUUACAAGCUCCCCUGAGACACUCAGCACUUGUGAGGACUCCUUAGUGUCAACAAACACAGUGGGGGCGGGGGGAGACACCAGCCUGUGCUGCAGGGAGCAGCCCAGACUGCUGCACCACUCUACUGGGCAGAGGUGCCCCUUUAUAUAGAAAAUCAAAAGCCUGUAUUCACCAACCUCUGGAGGGUCACUGGUAAUUGCCUGCUACUGCUCUAUUAUUCUUUGAAUACUGGUUUCAUAAUUUUCUCUGUUCAAAAAUCAUGUGUUUUAUUGGCAUAUAAUAUUGGUAUAUACAUUCUGAUCAGAAUAAUUAGAAACAAUGCAGUGCUUUGUGUGUGUUUGUGUGUGUGUGUGUGUGUGUGUGUGUGUGUGUGUACAGAUGUUUGGUGAUCAACUUUGAAAAAAACAGACAAAAUAAUUUUGAAUGAAAAUAAAAUGGAGUAGCUUCUCAAUAAAUAUGAACCAGUUACCAUAGAGAUAGAUAGAUAGAUAGAUAGAUAGAUAGAUAGAUAGAUAAACAUUAAAAUGAACCUAAUAUAGGAUAUACAAAAUUAUCCAAAUAAUAAAAAAAUGAAAGUUAUUUUCAAAAACACCCAAAAAACAAAACACCAAAAUCUAGGAGUAAGUGUCAUAACUCAAGAGGUUAAAAUAGGAAAAUUGUUUCACAGUUGAACAGGUUUAGUUAUUUACAAAGAACAAGCCUGACAUACUAUUAUUCCUAUACAUUAAGCUUUUGGCCUAUAUGGUUGAAUAAUAUCCUAUGUGGAGUUAUAGAGAUGAUAAUGGUGACUUUUCACACCAGUUUGUGAUCAUCAUUUUAAGAUUAGGUCCAAAGAAAAUUAGAUCCAAUGAAUGGUAUCUAAAUUUUUAUUAUAAUUUGAGUGGAUAUUUUUAAUUGGCAACACUAAUUAUACACACAUACAUCUCUCUAUAGCUAUGUUUUUAUAUUGGCACAAAAAACACAAUAUUAUAGAAACAUAAACUCUAUUCUCUCAUAUGUUGCCUGUAUCUCCAUCAUAAUGUGCAUCUCAUUAUCUUGCCCUAAAUGACAUAACAGUGCGCAUUUUAAUAUUAACUCAAAGACAUUUCUAUCUCUUUGCCUAUCCUAAACGAGACUGUGACUUUUUUUAAUACAUGCUUUUUAACUGGCAUCUGUCUCCCAGAGGACGGGAAGAUAACACGACUAGUCCUGCAGGGAAGCUUCAGGUGAUCUUUCUUGAGACUCCUCUUCACCAGUUGUACGUAUAGAAAAAACCUUGAAACUGGUUUUAUUUACAGUUUGAGCUUAUUGUGACAGUUUCAGGCUGUUGUCGCCUUGGAAACAGGAUGACAACAAUUCUGAGGGACAGCUGGACAAUGCACACUUUCACGCAUAGUCCUCUCUCUUGAUUUGUCUGAGGCAAAUGUAGUAAGUGGGGGAAAAAAUCUGUUCAGAUAUACAGAAGGCAGUGUCUUUUCAUGAAAAACAAAAACAUCAAAGCCAUUUUAAAGUAUGAAACUUUAUCCAUGAUGUGAUACACAAUUAUACACUCUGCAACUCUACCUUGAUGCAAAAAAAUCACAUCAGGUAAAUUUUUUAAAAACAACAUAUUAAGAUCAUUGAGCAGAGUUAAAGCACAUUUUAAAAAUAUAAAUGUAUCUUAAAAACUAGGAAAUUAUCACCAAUUUUAAGUGGUCAUAUUUUUUGAGGUAGGAUAGUAGGUAUUUUUAACCUUUAUAUUUCUACGUACUAUGUUACAUAUAUAGGAUAGCUAUUUGAUAUUUAUAAUCAAAAAGGCAGUAAACUAUUAACAUCUUAAAUCUGACUUUAAACUCAUUAUCAUAAAACAAAAGCAAUUACAAGAAUCAAUAGUUAUGAUUCCGAAUCCCAUGUGAGACAUUUUUAUAGGUCUAGCUAACUCUCCAAUACCUAUAGAGAGCAAUUGUGAACAUUCAUUAACUACAGAAACACAAAGAUCUCCAGGUUUAAGAGGCCUGUGUAUUCAUGACAUGACAACGAACAGCUAUAUUCACUGGAUGAGGAAACAAUAGCACAUGUGUUCUUCAGGUACAAGGGAUAGGACCGAAGGAUAACAUGCCGUUCCUGCCCAUGGAAGUGGUGUGCUGUAGGCAAGAAGGCAGCCAUCCUAUGAGUACACUACUCAGCCCCUCUGCUGACACACAGUGACGGGCAGUGUAGUCAGAAAGCCCACCUGUCCUCUCUUCUCUAACAGUACUGGGAACCUCCACUUUUGAUACUAGUCAGGUUUGGUCUGAGUUUUAAUUCAUUCAAUAACACUGAUGACUGUCUCCAUAUGUAGUAUAUGCUCAUAAAAGGAUACAGCUUUGAGGAUGAAAAUAUUAUAUAUUUUCCCUGGCAGUUCAGUUUUAAGAUUCUAGUGGAGUCUUAAGUCAAAAAGUUAAAGUUGACCCCUCAGCUACUAGGCAAAUGUGUCUUACCUUGCAAGAAGAACAGAGCACAGUGUUUAGUGAGUUGGUAGUUCUUGUUCAACUUUGUAAAGCACAGCUUACCUUCAAGGAAUCCAAUAUUAAAGGGUGGUUACUUUGAGUGGAUGCCAACCAAGGCCUUGGCUUCAUGCAAGAACAGGUCUUAGUUCUCUUCUACAUUGCAUUCCCUGCUGAAGUUGCCACAUAGACGAGCGAGCCAUUGAAACCUACACCAGGUGGUCAUAAAAUACACAGCAUUUUUGAAUCACUAAUAAAGUCUCUUAAAUUCUCAUGUGAUUAUUCUGUGUAGAGAUGUAGGAGAGAGGCCUGGGAUGGAAGGAUAAAAGGGAAUGAAGGCCAAGAUGGCACAGCUUCCCACCAACCUGAACAGGGCAACCUGCAGCCAGGAAUGGAUUCCUGUAGACAGUUUCACUCGGCGACUUGGACCUGCUGCUUGGAUAGUAAUGGAGGAAAGAAAAAAUAAAAACUCUAAGAGAAAAAAAGGUCAAAAGACCUUUCUAACACAGAAACCUGAAGCCUCCAUUCAUCUUUUCAACAAAUAAAAAGUAGACCUCAGACAGGCUGCCUCAACUCCCAUAGCCUGCUAUGCAUGACAGGUAACAAACACGGACAUAGGCAACGGGUACAAACCAAAGUGAAGGAGAAGAACAUGAGCGUGUCUGGCUUAUAACUGAGUUAGUCCCUAAGCAGACACAGGGCAUGAAGAUUCUAGCCUAUGGGAAGACCAGGCAGGAAAGGCCAGCUCUGCUUAGGAACCUAUGGCUUCCUGCCAUUUAUAAAUAUAGCCCUUCCCACACGAACAGGAGCAAAGAUAUUUCAACAGAAUAUUGCUGUGGUCAUUUCUCAAUUUAACUCCUGAAACAAAGUUGCUGUAGCUUUGGGGAACUACUGCCAUUUAUCCAAGGGCGAUGUCCACACAGCUAAAAGUUCCAGGAAGGUAAGAGGACAAGUCUCACAUCUACUUCCUGGUCAUGAUCUACCUCAUCAGACGAGUUCCCCAGGCUGAAUGCGAACAGAGAGGCUCGUGCUGAACGGCAACAUUUCCCUCUACCAGUGCAAAGUAGCAUGAAUGGAGACAUUUCCCUCUACCAACCAGUGCAAGGUAGCAUGGAUCCAACUGAACAAAGGCCCAGCCCAUUAACCAAACUGGGUUUUAAUGAUCAGAUGAUUAGAACACCUCAUUGAUUGGGCUCUAAAAUUUUAUUGAACAUCUUCUAUUUGCCUGACGGUGUUCCGUGUCUCAGGCAAUCCACACAGGACAACUGUUAGCCCCACUUGCUGAUGAGACAGCGGAAUUACAAGAAUGAAUGCAGCAGCGAUCCCGAUGGAUCAUGAUGACAGGCACCUGCAUCUUAGGAUGGAAGAAAGUAGGCAGGAGGUUUCUAGCAUCCGACCAGUCUGACCUUGGGAAGUCUUUCCUUUGGGAAGAGAGAGCAAGCAUUUUUGCUCUGCCUUGAAACUUAGCAGCUACACAUUCUUCGGCAAAUUACAUUCUCUCUCUAAACCUAAUUUCUUUACCUUUACAUGAAGAGAAAGAACUUUUCCAUGUUCCUAUGGUCCAGGACUUAGUGAGGAUGGAAAAGAUAAGGAUGUAAAACAGUACCUGGUCCAGCUUAGAGCCCAUGCUCAGAAAGCAUGGCCCUGGCACCACGCUAGUGUUACACUGGAAUUGUGCCCUGCUAAUACUCCAUGUCCACUAAGCCCCCGCGGUAGCAUUGCUGUUGCUGCCAGAGGCAUCUCACACCAUGCUACCUUCCUCUUCCAAAGACAGGCUGGAGCUGCUCUGACUCUCACAACCCCCCCCCCAACCCCACACCAGCACCACUGUGAACUCUAACCUCUCCCACUAGUGCAGACUAGGCACUUGGGUACAAAUCAAGAUGCAGCUCUCCUAAGACUGACGUCAGCUGGCAGCCACAGGCCACUGUGCCCCUCUGGUACUUUCCUAUAAGCGAAUUUGUAGCUGAGCGUUUUAACAUGGAAGGCUUGCGGUGUCCGUUGUCUUUGGUGUUCUACUCUUUCAGGAAAGGAGUCAUUAUCCAUACUUCUUUUAUUAUCUUUUACUAUUUUAAUAACUGGGGGGGGGGGGUUGAUAACAGAUCUCCAAUCAUGCUUGCUACCUUGAAAACCCAGUCUCUUCAGGUGUAAGUCAGUCUGUUUGCCUCGCUAUCCAUUCUAGGUCUGAACUCACAUGUUCUAUCCGGUUACGACAGUCACAUUUCUUAAAGCGCUGUGACUGCCAAGCUAAGGUACACCGGUGUCAGAGCCUUACUGAUUUCUCUUGAGAUGGUAGCACCGUACAAAACCACUUUCCCCGGCACAACGUGACAGCCACGCAGGUGAAAAUUCCCGAGGUUGGACCGACUAUAACACUAACAUGUAUAACACUGACAUGCAACUCAUAAAUCACCGACCAUGGGGGGGGGGCGUGGGGGGCAAGCUGCUGCUUCUGCUAAGUUAUUGAGUUUCUAAACUUUCACAGUGUUCGAAGAGUUUCUGUAGAUUCAAGGCCUAUGCAAUAAAUAAAUCACAUGCCCAUUUUCAGGAACUGGAAAUCUCAGCUAGAUUUUACUUCCUACAAAACCCUCAAAAUGAUAAGUGACUAUAAAUUUCAUGUGCUAUAAUCUUAAAUUUAAAACUUUGAAGUCCUCAUUCUUUAUAUUCCUUCAGAAGAAGAAGGGUCUAACUUUUUUGUAUGUCAGUAACUAAUGUCUUGUUAAAACUUGUGGUUUUCCAUUCUUUAGGCCUGUCUGACAGAUUACCUCUGUCAGAUAAUCACUUAAUUUAUCAGUAGGUUUCCCUACAGCUUUUUUUUUUUUGUAAAUGUAUACACAUAUAUUUGUGGACACUCAGAUGAUUGUAACUUGUGUGUUUAGCAUGAAUGGUGUCAUGUUGUAUGGGCCAUUCUACAACUUGCUUUAAGGUUUAUUCUUAAUUAUGUGUAGAUGUGUCCGUCUACGGGUCCACAGUGCACGUAGGUGCCUAGAGGCCAGAGGCAUCCAAUACUCUGGAACUGGGAUACAGAUGGAGGUGAAGUGGGUGCUGGGAACUAAAUUCUAGUUCUUCAGAAGAGCACUAAGUGCUCUUAGCCACAGAGCCAUCUCCUCAGCUCCUAUGAGUUACUUUUAAUCCCUUAAUAAAUGUCCUUGUCCAUGAAAAAAGUGGGUAGCUUAUUCCUAAUAACUGCCGAUUUCAACGCAUUGCCUUGACUCAGUUCCUUAGCAUUUGUCUCUUCCCGCUUUCUGGUUUUACAAGGGCUGUCCUGUGAUCAACCUUCCUGGUGUUUGCUUUUGUUCUCCAUUCUUCCACUAUUAGGAAGUCCUUUAAUUAUGCAUACAUCUUGAUUUAUAACUCUUCAAUACAUGGUUUAAUACAAGAUACUUCUGGCUGCUAAACUAGAAUAAAUUUUAGCUAUGUUUUCCACCUAUGUUAUACUUAGAGGUCUUUUCUCGGGCACAACAAGGAUCAACAAAUAAGAACCAAAGGCCAAUUCUACUAAUUUCUUCUGCUUUCUGUGAACAUAACCCAUGCCCACUCCUUUACAUAGGGUGGGGGCUGCCCCUGCACUGCUAAACAGCUGGAACAGAGCCCACACGGGCCACAAAGCAGGAAAGGCCACCAAUCCAAGGAAGCCUGCUCCCCUCUACAACAGGAAAUAGUCACCCCAGAACACUUCUGUCUCUACAAAAAGCAGGUUAAAACGCCAGUAAUUUUUAUUUUAACUCAAGGUGUAUAGUCAUAUGGGCUUCUAAAAAGCAAACCAAAGAUGCAUACCAAUUGAAAAACACAAUAUUUCUUUUAAAUUCUACAAUUGAGUCUAUGUGACUUAAUGUCAUAUCUACUCUGGCUACUUUAUAAUUUGGGGAGAUAACUGAAUGAAUACAUUAGGGAUUCUCCUUAAACAGCAGUGUGUCCUUCAGCCUGAUUAGUAAUUUAGGCUAUGAUUUUUCAAAAAAAAAUUUUGAGAUGUGAAGCAAGAAUAUAGAAUGAGGCAACUGGAGAGAUAAGUGAGUGGCAGGCUUCUGGUGUCUCUGCAUCCAUCAGCGUCUGGGAUGCUUGCCUCGGAUGCUAGCAGAAUCCUUCUUGGUCCCCAUGUGAAAUUCCUAUUGUACUGAGGGACUCACAGUAGCACCUCCAUUCACUUAAAAUCAGUACAAUGCUAUCAGUACAAAUUCUAUCACUUUAUAUUGCACUGACUACAAGAUUUAUUUAUGAUAAAAUUGGAGAAUAGGUGUCAAUGCAUAACAACAACAAAAAAGGUCAUGUGACCUUACCUCUCCAUACUCCCAUAUAAUACACUGGCAUUGACACUUGUUAGUAGAUUCUUUUACCUAUCUAAACAAUGUGAGAAGACUUGGUACAGCCAUACAUAAUUAUUAAAUUCCUAAAAUAUUUCAUUAUUUUCUACUGGACCUGUCAGGUUAUAACAGAGUUCUAUUACAGGGAACAGUCAUUGUCUCAUGUCCGUGUUGAAGUUUUUCACCUGUCCUCCUUGCUAAGCGCUAUACAAACUGUAAAGAGCAUCCUAAAUAUUGAACAAUAGCCAGACCUAGGCUUCCCAUUUAAUUCUCCCCUAAAAAGACAAAGAAUGGAUAAAUGAGUUCUGUUUGUUCAAAAAUAAUAGUGAUAAUAAUUAUUUUUCAGUCAUCUAUAGAAUGCCUAUCAGAAGAGUUCUAGAGACCUCCUUGGUGACCUGGCAACCUCUCUCGGGUGACAACACUGCAGCAGGCCACAGUUACCCUUCUCCUGUCAACUCUGCUUUAAUGAAACUCAUACAUUAAGUUUGAUGAUGGUGCUGUUGUAUAAGAACAAUGAAGAGGAGGAAAAGAUGAAGAACUACUUUUCCUAUCAAAGCCUUGGAACAAAGUGAAUACUUAUGUAAUGGCCCUAAUGCUGUAUACAAUGUUCUACAAAUUAUAACCACAAAUUCUAUGCUCACUCUUAUUGUGUCCAGCCCACUCUACUUCCCGGACCUGAUUUUGGAGUUGUGAGUUGGUAAGUUAAGAAGGGAAGAGGUAGGGGCCACUAAGUUGAAAGGGAGGAUUAACAGUCAGCCUAAACCAAAGACACAAAGGAGACAACGGAGAUGAGAAACGAUGCGGGAUCCUGCCAGACAUUUGAGGUCAGCAUCCUUGCUUCUACACCCUCUUUUUGGCCAACCAGUCUGAGAGAAGUUUCAUGUUUUCAAGUACAGCUGUUAGGAUUAAGUGCUAAGGGCUAGGGUCAGAGUUCUUGUGAGAAGACUAAUGUUGUAACCAUAAGGACACCGGUUGGUAACAUGAAGCCAGGGUACAGGAAAAAUGAAACAUCUAAAUUGCCAACAGAGACUCUGAAGAGCUAGAGGCUAGAUUUUAGAGGCUAGAUUUAAAACCAUGGCAAAUGUUUCUGGAUUCUGAAGACUCUAGAAACAAAAGGACGUUCUGAGGCAGCUGCUUUAAGACUUUAAAGAGACUCUUCAGCCCAGAAAGUUUUGGCUCUCCUUCUGACCCUAGUCUGCCAGGUCCUUCCCUCUGUCCUCGGGGCCAGACUGUUCCAGUUUGAAUUUCUUCAGGUGAAAUACCUUGUCUGUUUGGGGUUCCAAGUUACUCAUCGGCGGAGGGGACCCUAUACCCAAACCAACUUCUCAAGUUAUCAUCAGCUAGUUGUUGAGGGUCUGUGGUGCUAUCUGAUUAUCCUUCCCAGUAUUCACACAAGCUGUACCAAGGGAGAAAAGAAAACAUGCGCUAAAAGUCUCAUCACAAUUACUAUCCAGCCAACACCUGGCUGCUGCCUUGCCUACAUGCCAGGCACUUCACAUUUAUUAAUUCAUGCAAUCCUCACACAACCUUAAGAACAAAGGCACUGUGCCCACUAUAGCUAGAAAAAUGAGGUUGAACAAUUUUCCUAAGUAAUAUGUUGGACUGCAGGAUGACAUGACCAGGAUCCCGAGCAGAGUGGUUAACGUCAGGACAUCAUCCACCUAACCACACCACUAUACCACAUCUCUUAAGCUGCCUUGCCUGUAAUGUCAGGGUGGGCAAGGUCUUAAAACUAGCUGUCAUGGUCAACUUUAAGAAACCACAGCGGCAUGAAUUUUAACUUCAGUUAAGCAUCCACACUAUCCAGUGUUCUUGACUUGGAAAUUAAAACGCAAGAGACAAUGCUCAGAGCUUCCCCGUAGCCCUAUGAAGCAAGUAAUAAUCUGAAGUCUUUCAACUGCUACGCAGCUUACACUACAAACAUCUAACUUGGAUUUCCUCAAAAUCAAAAACACCUGCAUAUAUUCAAGGAAGAGCUCUCAUGAUGGUGUUACAUUCCUUUCUGAGAGCUUCAUUUAGACACCUUCCAGAGCUUCCCUUCAUGGGCACAGAAAAUCUUAAACUGUCUCUAUUUGAUUGUGCUUGCCCAGGGCAUUAAGUCCAAUCCACCACGUCUCACCUCAGUAACUCCACACAGACCAGACGAUUCCUGCAGUCAGCUUCCCCGAGGGGUUUGUUAAGUUUCACAUGCAUUUAGUCCUGCAGCUGCCCUGCUCAAGUUGAUAAACUUGUAGCUAAAUUCUUUCUGCAGCAAUGCGCUGCUGGGCUUAUGUUUUUUUAUCACCAGGAGAAUAAAUACUGCAAAAGAAGCUGUUACUAUGUGUUAGUGUUAUCCAUUAGUUUUUAGCAUAAUUGAGCUUACACUGCAAUUUCUCAGUAACUGAUAAGUAUAUUUUGUGGAUGUGGUUAAAAGGUGACAAGAAUUAAAAAGGGCUAAUACUUAAAUGUAUUUUAUAGCAAGAAAAGGAAGGAAUUUUGAUGCAUUACAAAGAGCAACAAAAUGAAGCAGAAAUUAUGGAUGGAAUUUCAUUUUUAUUAAAAUUCUGAAGUUACUAUGACACACCUAGACAGAACUCUUUUAAAAGGAGCCACCACACACACACAUUCUCUACUCUCAUCCUGUUCCUUACACAGAGAGUUUGAAUGAUUUGCCAAGGUCACUAGCACCAAUGACAAUGGUCAGGGCUAGAUCAUUGGUCUCCUAAUUGUAAUCAGCGCUCUGUGAAACAUGGUCCAGCCAAUAGCAAUAAAACAUCUGCAUCCACAAGUGCUGCUGACAUCUGAAACCCAAUGCAUAUUACAUCAACACACUGUAGCCAUUCAAGACACCACUCGUUUCAGUGUCACCAACAAUAUCACACAAUACCAACUGUUAUCAGAAUUGGUGGGAGUUACCACCUCCCUGCAGUCUGCUUGUAACAUAAGUUCUGUUGUUUUUUUUAAUAGAAUGUCUGCUAUAUGGUCUUUAACAAUAUCACACAUAUGGGAUUUAUCCUGACCAUAUACACCCAAAACUCCCCAGUCCUACUCCCCUGGGGAACCCCCAAACCAUCCCCCUUUGCCUUUCACUUCCUCUCUAUUUGUUAUUUUCUUUCUCUUCAUAGUCCAUGGGGUCCUGUUGGGAUACAAACAGCCUUCUUGGCUUAAUCUUGUGGGGGUCUUGUGCAGGUAACCAGAGCUGUGGGUUCAGGAGUGCCAUGGACACAUUGUGUCCAGAAGACAGUAUUUCCAGGCAUAUCUCCUAUUCUCUGGCUCUUACAUUCUUUCUGUGCUCUCUACUGUGUGAGUGUGUUCUUUGUGGGGAGGGGGAGAAUGCAGGUGUUCUAGCUAUCGUUUACUUUAAUACCCUGCUUCUCUCCACUAGAAAGCCUUUCUGGAACCUUCUCUUGCUUCAGUGUUGUACCUUCCCCAAUUCUACAAGGCACAAAGCCACUGACUGGUCCUGUACAAGCUUGCCUGCUGCCUUCACUCAGUCCCUAACAACUUGUAUGUGUCUAUUUAUAGCCUGUCAGAAGCCUACACAAAACCCAAACAUUCUUGUAAUUUUUGAUUCCUCUUCUCAGAAGUCAUCAAUGACUCCCAACUGCCUCUUGAGUCAAAUGAAAACAUCUAUCCCAAUGAUUAUCUUCACUCCUAAGUACCUUCAUCAUUACUCAAUGCAUCUUUUUUUUUUCAGCAUGUAUUUGCUGAGUAAUCAUCUUGUGCCUAGUUACAUGCUCUACCCUGUGAGAAGUUAUAAGAUCUAUGUCACACUCCCUGCCCUUACCGAUCUUAACAAUCAAUGUGGAAAGACAAAACAUGCACACAGCAAACAUUUUUAUAGCAAGAAAGGCUGCACAUGACUAUGUACCAGGGGCUCUACGAAACAUACAUCAAUGUUUAUCAAAGGCUACGGUGCUUGUAUAAGCCAUGGAAGCUCUAGAAAGGCUGGGAUAACCCAUGCUCUAGAAGUGUGUAUGUCUAGGGUAGGAAUUGGCUUCCUCUAUACUCAGAGACAGAAGUAAAAAGUCUCCCUGGCCUAGAGCCUUCUUGGGGCUAGUAAUUAGAACUGCGACUGGGAAAGAGGCAGACAUAGAAUAAUAAUGAUUCUUUAACAGUACACUAUGGUACUUGGAACUGCUCACACAAAGGGGAGGAAAGAGUUACUGAAAACAUGGCAAGGACAAAGUGACUGCUUACCAUGGAACAAUAUUCAGCAUGGAACUUUAGGUAGGAAUUAUUAUUAUAAUAAAAUCAUUUUUAAACCAGUGCAAUUAUCAGGAGAUUACUUUGUUAGUGGCCACUGACAAAAUCAUCUACACACAGAAGAAGGAAUGAAGCAGAGGCCAAGAAGAUAUGCUGCAGGUGCCUGGUAAAUACAAAAAUGAAAGAGAAAUUUUGACUAGAGUAUCACGCUAUGGUAAUAAAAGACAAAGCAUCUUAUUUUUUAAAAUGAAGCCAGGAAGGAGUAGGUAUGGAGACUGUUGAUGACAGGGCAGACUGCAGAGAUGAGCCUAACGUGCAGGUGGAAAAUGAGGAUAUAGUCUACAUUUGUAAGACCCUAACAAAACUGCUACCAAGGGGGUGCUCUGUGUUUUACAGAGCCAUGCUCCUUCCUGCACAGAACCCAACUCCAUUGUACCCCAGCCCUUGGUUGGUGUUGCAGCCAAGAGGCUAAGUUCUCCAGUUGGUAUGCUAUGAGUAGGAAUGCUUCCCUGUGAGGAUUGCCUGUAUCUCCCAUGGACAAGACAUUCAAGAUGGCCCUUAGAAAUACAGUGAGUUCAGUUGAAAGCUUGCCUGGGCUACAUGAGACCCUUUCUCAAUAUAAAGAGAAGAAAGAAAGAAAGAAAGAAAGAAAGAAAGAAAGAAAGAAAGAAAGAAAGAAAGAAAGAAAGAAAGGAGGGAGGGAGGGAGGGAGGAAAGGAGGGAGGGAGAGAGAGAGAUAAAGGAAGGAAGGAAGGAAGGAAGGAAGGAAGGAAGGAAGGAAGAAAGAAAGGAAGGAGGGAGGGAGGAAAGGAGGGAGGGAGAGAGAGAGAUAAAGGAAGGAAGGAAGGAAGGAAGGAAGGAAGGAAGGAAGAAAGAAAGAAAGAAAGAAAGAAAGAAAGAAAGAAAGAAAGGAAGGAAGGAAGGAAGAGGGAAGGGGGAGAGAGGGAGGGAGGAAGGAAGGAAGGAAGAUGGAUGGAUGAGGGAGGGAGAAAGGAGGGAGGGAGAGAGGGAGAGAAGGAGGAACAGAAAAAAGGAGGGAAAUAAAUAUAGAGGGAGGAACUUAGAACCUAUAAGAAGAUUCCUAUCAUCCAAGCCAUCUGGAUUGAAUUUGGAUGUUUGAACAACUACACUAAGUAUAAGAAGUUGGUAGAGAGAGGUUGGGGAAUAUGAUGCAAAAAGCACACAACUCUGAUAUCAUUAAGUCAUUGAUACCCAGAAUUGCUUGGUCAGCUAUUAGCCUAUUUUAAUAUGGUUGGUUUCCAAGAGAACUCUACAGCUCACAGAAUCUCAGCUAUUGCAUUAAACCUUGCAUCCGUGCCCUUCCCAAUGCCUGGCCCCUUUGCUUUUGUUUGGUUGUUUUGUUUUGUUUUUCCAUUCAGUCUACUUCCUAGAAUGAUUCCACUAAGCUGACCCUUGUUCUUCCUGGCUUUGUGCUUCUGCAUCCAAUUCACACAGGUAGCAGCCCCUGCCUCUCUGCAGCUGGCAACAGCCACAGCAUCCAUUUUCCUGUCCCCACAGCAUCCGUGCAAAUAUCUCUAUCCAUCUGUAACUGGUUAUGACUAUGUUUUUAUGUUUAUUUCAUCUGUUAUCAUGUAUCUCCAUUUAUAUCUGUUCCAUUAGAUUAUAACCUCAAUAUGAACAAAGAUUGUGCUUACUAUUUCCUUUGUAAUUUCCUACAUGCCUCAUAUACUGCCCUACGCUGUCAGUGGUUCAUAAACGCAACUAAUUGAAGUUCAACCUUCUACUCAGAUCUUUGCACUAGAUGUGAAACCACUCAGAGUCUGUGUCUCAAACAAAAUGCACACACAGUCUUGCAUGGCGCUCUCCUUUAUCGAGCAACAUCAGGGAAUGAGCUGGCCCAGAGAGUUAAUCUUGCAAUCAAAUAUACUGCAGCCAGAAGGAACACAGAGACACCUUGGGAACAACACUGAACCUCACUCACUCCUCGGCAAACCUCGGCGGCUGCAUUACAUCAUUCUGAACACGGUCUCAUCACUGGCCCUGAAAAUCUGAUCUAAUGAAGCUUCAAGUACAGAGAAGAGGAGGAAGAAGGGGGAGGAAGAGGAGGAGAAGGAGGAGGAGCUAAGAAAAUAUAAUGUUAUUAAUUAACAGAGUGGCCCGCACAAAUAAUCUUUAAAAGUGUAUAUGUGGUGUACAUAUGCAUAAGCAUCCACCUGUGUCUGCAUUGGUAUAUGUCCAUGUGCAUGUAUGUGUUCAUGUGCACGUGAGGCUAGAGGUCAAUGCUAAGUGUAUUCCUCUGUUGCACUCCACCUUGCUUUGUGAGAUGGGGUAGCUCAAUAAACCUAGAGUCUUCAAUUUGGGCUUGUCAGCAAACCACAUGGAUCACCUGUCUCUGCCUCCUAGUGUCAGGAUCACAGGCGUGUGCCAUAAUGCCUGGUGUUUUACACGGGUGCUGGGAUUACACACUUAGGGCCUCAUUCUUGCACAGUCAGCACUUGACUGACCAAGUCAUCUCUUGACCCUCCCAAAUAUGGAAUUUUGGGGGAAUUUUUACCAAAGAUAGAAAGACUUGCAUUAUUCCUCCUGAAAAUAUCAAAGGAGAAUAUUAGAAGGCUAAUACAUUGUAUCCUCUUCCCUACAACCCCAUGACCAUGAUCCUGUCUUUUUUCUUUUGUUCUAUGUUUUCUUCCUCACCUGUACUCCACCUUACUUUCAGAAAUGUAGUAUCGCCCUGCAGUUUAACCAGGGAUGUUUGAGUAACCACAGAUAUGCAACUAUUAGUGGACUCUGGUGAGCUCCCCAGUGGGUUCCCAUCUAAAGAACAUGACUCCCCACUCCCCUGCGAGCCCCUUACUCGCUAAUACCUUAGCAAGGAUAGGUUCAGUUCCAUAGACCCCUUCCCCAUCUGUACUGGCUAUUUUUGUGUCAACUUGACACAGGCUGGAUUUAUCACAGAGAAAGGAGCUUCAGUUGGAGAACUGCCUCCAUGAGAUCCGGCUGUAAGGCAUUUUCUCAAUUAGUGACCAAGGGAGGAGGUCCCCCUUGUGGGUGGUGCCAUCUCUGGGCUGGUAGUCUUGGGCUCUAUAAGAGAGCAGGCUGAGCAAGCUAGGGGAAGCAAGCCAGUAAAGAACAUCCCUCCAUGGCUCUGCAUCAGCUCCUGCUUUUUGACCUGUUUGAGUUCCAGUCCUGACUUCCUUGGUGAUGAACAGCAGUAUAGAAGUGUAAGCUGAAUAAACCCUUUCCUCUCCAACCUGUUUCUUGGUCGUGAUGUUUGUGCAGGAAUAGAAACCCUGACUAAGACAUCAUCCAUGACUAGCAAUUGACUGGUUCAGUCUGUGUAGGCCCAGGGCAGGCAACCACAGCUGCUGUGGGUUCUUGAUUGCAUUGGUGAAGCCAUGCCCAGACAAUAGUAUUGCACAGCUGUUCUUCCCUUCUUCCAGCUGCUACAUUCUUUCCACUCCCCUUCUGCAAUGUUGCCAACCUUAGAGGGCAUGGGAUCGUGGGAUCGAAGUCCUCUUUAGGACUAGCACCCUUCCUUAUUCUUAGUACUUUGAGCAAUCAGAUGUUGGAGGGAGAUGAGAAACUGUGCAACAUAAGAGUAAUCAGAGUACAUUUUGAUACAUAUAUACAUGUAGGAAAUUGUCCAAGAAGAAAUUUAUUUUGUAUAAAUAAGUACUUGGUACUGGGUAAAAUACAAACAGAAAUCAUCCCUCCCCAUUAUCCAACCACAAUCUUGCCUUACUUGUACAUGAAAUGGGUACAAUGUGGUUCUUUUUCUUUUUUCAACAAGAAUUUUUCUACCAAAAUCCAAAUAGAAAUAUCAAUAUUUUGAUAGCUCACAUAUAAAAAGAACUCUAUUGAAAUUAUAAUAAAUUGAAAAGUCCUUAUGCCUCUCACAAAACACAAAUGUAUACUGGCUAAUUAUUUACAAACCCAGCUAUGUGACAUUAAAAAAAAAACAAAAACAAAAACAAAAAAACAUAACACUGGUUGCAACUCCAAUCUAAUUCCACAUAGCACUCAUACUGAAAAUCUGAAAAUCAAGAUGUGGCCAGGUGCAACUGGAAAAUUUUUUUUUAACCACAAUCAAUUUAUAACUGAAGAAGUAAAAAUUACUGCUUAAGACAGAAAAUUAUUAUUUAAAAGCUAAGUGUAGUCAUCCAUCACACUCAUUGCAGGGUGUGGGGCGUGCAGAAAGACGUGGGUUACAGACGGUCCACUCUCUGAGCACCAGCUAUGAUGGGCAGGAGAGAAAGGCUCCAGGACUGUUGCUCCCAUGGGCAGAAAAUGGAAUGGGAGGGGCUACCUUCCAGGGGAGCUGACACUCAGGGUCUGUCUCAGAGUGUGGCUGGACUUACCAAGACAGACAGACUGAGCAUCUUGAGGCAAAGCUGGGUGCAGUAAAAGACAUAAAUUAUCUCACAGGAGCAGCAAUUCCCAUAGGUAGAGAAGGCAAGGGAGAAAGAAGAGCAGCCACAGCCAGAAGGUGGGAGCUAAGGCUUAACCAGCUUGCACAGGACUUCCUGAGAAGCUAGAGACCUGGAGUUCCAUCUGUACACAAGGGGGAGCCAGCGAAAGGUUGCUUGGCUUGUGUAAGUAACUACAGCAAACUCCACCAAACAGAAACCUUUCCUUCUAAAGUGAACAGGGCAGUAUGCAGCAUCACUAACUGGGGAAUGAACCUGGAACCAGAAUCUUGGCAUCCUCCAACCGGAAACCCUGUCCUCAUGGAAACAACUGCAUGGUCACCUAGCAACCAGCAACCUGAGUUAUAAAGUUCUGGGGUGUAUGUGUGUGUGUGUAUCGUGAACAUUUCAUAGAAGUAGAGUGAUACAACCACUUUGUUUGCUUUCCUAACUUAACACCGAUAUUUGUAUCAGUACUGAUUUUUAAUGACUAAAUAAUAUUCUAUUGUAUGCAGAUAACACACUCUUUAUUCAUCUGGUGGUGGAAUUUGUGCUUUUUUUUUUAACAUUUGUCUAUUGUAAAUAGUUCUGCUUUGUAACAUAUGUAUUUGUCUAAGUCUAAACUUUUUACCUACCAGUGAAAGUUCUGGAUAAUAUGGAAAUUCGGUUUUAUUUUUUAUAAACCACUAAAUGGCCUGCUACACUGGAUUUGAAACCCUUUUGCAUUCUCUGUAGUGUGCGUUCCUAAGCAGGUGAUGACUGAAAAGAAUGAGGUAGUUAAGUGGCCACUCAAGAUGUCUAGAUGAACGACGGCCACACUGAGCCAGGACCAGGGAGUGGGAUACAGGGACAUGCAAAAUGAAGAACACAUAGAGACAGGAACUGCAGGAAAAGAAGAGUCAGAAAUGGCCUGAGGCUUCCAGCUAUAGUGGUUCAAUCAUUCAGGAAGUUAGAGCACAGAACAAGAAGUUACAAGGGCUGAUUUGGAAAAACAGCAUAUCUUAAAGAUGAUCACUGGGCCAUGAGGAGUCUCGGGCAUGUGAUGAGGAGGAGUUCCAGGUUUACCAGGGAUUAAGACAAUGAGGGAGGCUGAAGAUGUGCAGUACAGAGCAGCUGAGUAGGGGAGACUUAGAACGAGAUAACGGGCCCCAGAUGGCAGUUGAGAGAAACUUGCAAGCAGUGCAAGGUAAAUUGUGAUCAGAGAAUGAGAGGGAUUGCAGGAGAGCUGUGGCUGAGUUUAUAAGAACCAAAAACAAGAUGGAUGGGUUAUUUAUUGGAACCUCCUCUAGACAGGCUGGGUGCUAAGUCAUGGUUAGUGUCUCCAUGAGCAAAGCACUCAACAGAACUCCUCUCGUUUAGACUGCCACGCUCUGAAGCCUCUCUAUGAACGCCAUGUUUACAAGUAUCAUCAGCUUUUCCCUAGGGGAGUUGUGCACGGCAUUAUUUCUCAUUUCUGGUUAUAUUGUGAGACUUAGGCAAGUCAACUUGCUGAACGCUCCGUGCUUGUGCUGGCAGUGAGGCUCGGGGCUGCUCCUCUGCUGUCCCAGCCAGGCUUCCUUCUGAAACUGCCUUCCUUGCUUCCGUCUUCUGUAAGGCAUUUCCUGGGGGCUGCUUCUGGUAAAGACAGGAUCCCAAUUCAAGGAAUCCAAUGUACUUAGAUAUUUAAAGUAUAACUAUGAGCAGGACUAUUCCAUUCUUUUUAUACUCAAGGUUCCAAUACUACGUUGUCUUGUGGAUUUCACUUACGGUUUUAUAAAAACAGUUUAUCCAUUUACAAUAACAUCUUAACGAAGAAAAAUAUUUUGUUCUCUAAUCGUUAGUUUACAAGGGUUUAGUAUAUUUAAUUACUUUGGUUAUGGGUCUGUUUGGUUUUUUUGUCUUUUGCUGAAGGAUACGUGUGAGCAGUAUUAGCCUCUCUUAAUUUUCGUUAACACGGUAUUAAUUUAAUAGGCGGGAAGUCAGUUGGCAAGUGUCUGUUCCGUUAGAUGGAAUAACAAGGUACCAUGGAACGCCACGAGCAUUUGCUUUCUUUUCUCAGCAGUGUACAUUAAAAUCCAACAUAAGCAUGUGUGUGAACAGUAUUCACAGGGCUUGUGACACAUUGUUUCACACAGAUUGACACAUCACUUCCUCUCCCGGCCCCCCCAUCCACACCUGCCUCCCCUUCCUCCAGUGAUCGCCAGACUGACUCCCAUCACCUUUGAACUCGAAAAAUCCCGAGGAGGGUUUCUCUGCAAAUUUGCUGCUGCUUUUUCCCCGGGGCAGAAGGCAAUUAAUUCAACUUAAAAAAUCCUCCUCUUCAAAUUCCUUCUGGACUCCGAUAAGCUAAAAUCCUGUUUAUGUAAACAAAAGUGCUUAAUUAAUCAGAGCAUGUGAUAAUGCCAAAAGGAACUGGGAAGAUUUCCUGCUACCAUUUCAGACGUCACAAUCGGACGGUGUGUGAUGGGGCGUCCCUGAAGAUGCCAGGUUCCUCCAAAAGGCAGCGGCAUUAACUCUUCUAAGGCUUUUAUUUCGCUUCAAACUAUCUCACUGUAAAUUACAAAUGAAGCGCUGUACAAAUUCAUUAGAGAAUGGCUCGUUUACGGUGGGAAA